GAAAAAGAGUGUGAGUCAAUACAAUACGAUUUGAAACCGGUAACGGAACAGAACCACAGAACCUUCUAGGUCACUUUCAUGCUUCCGCCGUAAACCACCGUCCUUGAUGCUCCCAUUCACCACAACCACCGUGCGUCGCCGGAAUCGCGAUAAUUGUUUGAAUCAUCUGGAAUCCCAAUCCUCAUGUUUCACUGUCACCGUGUAAGAGCUCUUUUCAAUCUCAACCCUAUCUCCCACCUCUCAUCAUCAUCACCAACCUCAAAAUGUUCCCAUUCUCUGCAACCAAUCUCUCACAAAAUCUUCUUCUCAACUACUUCAGAACCAGAUCAGCAACAAUCUUUCACCAUAACCUACCUCACAAAACACUGUGGAUUCUCACCACAAGCAGCUCUAAAAGCAUCAAAGCGAGUUCGUUUCAACACCGCUCAGAAGCCUGAUUCAGUCAUCGCCUUCUUCCGAGAACAAGGUUUCUCACCCUCCCAGGUUCAGAGCGUCAUUACCAGUGCACCAGACCUUCUUACUUGCGACCCCAUCAAAAGGGUAUUGCCAAAGCUUCAAUUUCUAGCCUCCAAAGGUGCUUCUACCCACGACAUUGUUACCACAGUGACUCGGAGCCCAUUGUUUCUGCGUUCAAGCUUCGAGAAGCAGGUAAUCCCCGCGUUUGAAUUGAUAAGGAGAUUCUCACCUUCUGAUGCAAAGGCCAUUGCUCUUACACUUGCUUGCCCUAAUUUGAUUCGUGAUGCUUGCUUUCAAAUAAACUUGAACUUGUUGCUUCAUGUUGGAGUUACUCACACUAGCAUUCACUAUUUGCUUAGUACUAGGCCUUAUAUACUCUAUUCCUCUGAAUUCAGUAAGGUCGUUGAGGAAGUAAAGGGAUUGGGAUUUGACCCUUGCAAGAUUCAUUUUAUUGAAGCAUUGUUGGCCAAAAAGGCUGUAACCAAAUCCCAGUGGGAUGCUAAAGUUGACGCGCUUAAGAAAUGGGGUUGGUCUGAAGAUACAAUUUCCCAUGCAUUUAGAAGGAAGCCGAGCUUAAUGCUACGUUCUAAGGAAAAAUUGAAUGCCGUGAUGAGUUUUUGGGUCGGUCAGCUUGGGUGGGAUUCUUCAACGCUUCAAAGAGCACCGGUACUCUUUGGAUAUAGUUUGGAGAAAAGGAUGAUUCCAAGGGCUUCAGUUGUUCAGUAUCUUCUCUCCAAGGGUUUGAUGAAGAAAGAUGCUAGCUUAAUUAAACCAUUUAAUUUGACUGAUAAGAUGUUCCUGCAAAAGUUUGUGACAUGUUUUGGGGAGGAGGAAACAUCUAGGUUAUUGAAGCUAUAUCAAGGAGGAUGCUAGCAUCUUGCAGUUAGUUAAGUUAUGAGGAAAGAUUUUUGGCUAAGCUAGCCAUCUUAUGUUUCUUUAUCCCAUUCUAGUAUCUAUUCUGACUCUUUUUAAAUCUGGAUUCCUUAUAGUGGGACUGGAAAGAUGAAAGUAAAAGUGCUUUCCCUGUGUUCAUGAAGGAAAAGAGCAACAUUCAUGAAGGAUUUGUUGCACAAGAGGUAGACCAUCACCUAUAACAUGGUUCAUUCUGGUUCCUCAUAGCCUCUGUGCCAUAGAGAGCACCAGUAUCUCCCAUGUUUUACCUUUGCAAACCAAGCAUGACUUGAAAUACUAGAAACAACUGUUGUUCCUCUUCUAGAUAUAUUGCUAGAUAAAGUUCUUUGUGAAUCUUGCAGGAAGAUUAUUUGCUUUUAGUUCUCUAAGAUAAUGCCGCAGCCUAGUAAACUGGACAUAGCCCGGUGUUCUGGUGAUUGAAUUUAGUUUGAGCCCUUGUCUGAUGAGUGUUUGAUUGAAAUAAAAAAUGGUACAGAUUUAAUGUUA